GUCUACAGCCAUACCACCCUGAACAUGCCCAAUCUCAUCUGAUUUCAGAAGCUAAGCAGGGUCGGGCCUGGUUAGUACUUGAUGGGAGCCAAAGGCU
rnacentral:rRNA from 1 species